UGGGGUGUGUGUGUGUGUGUGUGUGUGGAGGUGUGUGUGUGUGGGGAGUGUGUGUGUGAUAGUCGAUGGAAUUGCCUCACACACUGACGGUGGAUCAAGGUUGUAAAGAACGACACAAUAAAUCAUGGCAGUGAGAUAUGAAGCUUUCUGAGUCCAAAAUGACACCCUGAUGGUAGUGAACCAUGUAUGGAAUAGGGUUCACUAUCUCCUAAUGCCAGGACCAUUGCAGAGAACAGAUAGCAGGACUCUUCUGCGGUUCUUCUGGCUUGAUCAAGAGAGAGAGAUGAGGGCUUAAUAUAGCGGUAAUUGAAAGCUUGAACCUGUGUGUGUAUGUGUGUGAGAGAGUGUGUAUGUGACUGUUUGUGGACAUCUAUGCCCUGAGUUAAUCCGUUUUUUUUUCAUUGGAUCAACAAGUCACAUUCUGUCAGCACAGAGGAAUGAAACUAAGUGACAUCAUAUCCUCCUUGUCUCAGUCCUCUUAGCCACAGUGUGAUGAGAUGCCUUCCCACCAGCCAGCUAGUGUAAGACAGAGUCAGUGGUAAUGUGGAGACUCUACUAAGGUGAUUUUGAGAGUCUGGCUGCAAUGUUAUUGCUUCAGAAGGGUUUCUGUAAAUUAUAGCCUCCUGUCAGUCAGCCAGCCAGAUCCCCCAGCAUGCCUAUGUAUGUCUUUUUCUGUUCUAUGAAAACCUAUGAACACACAGAGCCUGCAGCCCAAAAACCCUGUGCAGCAGAGCUCUAGAUGAAGCGUAAAGGGAGGAGGGAGUAGAGAUGGAGGAGGGGGAGGUGCAGGGUAAUAAUGACCAUGACUCAGCACUUUACACCUCCACUUAAAGACUUCACCCACCACCAACUGUUGUUAAGAGUUGUCUGUGUUGUUAAGAGUUGUCUGUGAUAUUAAGAGCUGUCUGUGUUGUUAAGAGUUGUCUGUGUUUUAGCAGCUGUCUGUGUUGUUAAGAGCUGUCUGUGUUGUCAGGAGCUGUCUGUGUUUUCAGGAGCUGUCUGUGUUUUAGCAGCUGUCUGUGUUGUUAACUAGUGAAUCAUGUGGUGUUUAUGGAUAUAGUGGAGGGGUCAGAUUGUUCUGUCUCUCUUCCAGGGCACUGCAGCCCUAUCAUGGUCCCAGCUGUGGAAUACCUGCUGCCUGCGCCACUAUAUAUCCAACCAGCAAUCAAAUAGACAGCAAAUAGUUAACGAACCAGCCAAUCAAAUAGCCAGGAAACAGUCAUUUAACCAGCCAGUCAGUCAAAUAGCCAGACAAACAAAUGGACCAACACUCAGCCAGCCAACCAGGGAACAGCUGGGACCAGUUAACCAGUCAACCAGCCAGUCAAACAGCCAGUCAACCAGCCAGUCAACAGGGAACAGCUGGGACCAGUUAACCAGUCAAACAGCCAGUCAACCAGGGGAACAGCUGGACCAGUUAACCAGUCAACCAGCCAGUCAACCAGCCAGUCAACCAGCCAGUCAACCAGGGAACAGCUGGGACCAGUUAACCAGUCAACCAGCCAGUCAACCAGCAGUCAACCAUGGAACAGCUGGGACCAGUUAACCAGUCAACCAGCCAGUCAACCAUGGAACAGCUGGGACCAGUUAACCCAGUCAACCAGCCAGUCAACCAGGGAACAGCUGGGACCAGUUAACCAGUCAACCAGCCAGUCAACCAGCCAGUCAACCAGGGGAACAGCUGGGACCAGUUAACCAGUCAACCAGCCAGUCAACCAGCCAGUCAACCAGCCACUGAACAAAGAAAGGUAGUGGAUGUGUGAUUCACAGCCCCAGAUAUAGAAUAUCACCUCCUUCUCCUCCCUGCAGUGGAUUUCCUGGAAGAGGGCUUCUGAGAUGGCUUUGGGGAGAAGUGGAGGAUCUGGUUCUUAAAAGCUCUUUUUUCUCUCUCAAUUGCUCUUUUUCUCCUUUCUUUCUUUCUUUCUUCAGCUCUCUAUUUUACUCUCUCUGUUCACAGCUGAAUACAUGAAUGUACAGAAUUGUAUAUGAUGAAAAUAAAUAAAAAUAAAAAUCUGUAUGUGGAAAUGUGACGUAUUCCCACAGACAGUCUGUAAUUAACCAAUUUGAGUCAAUGCUUUUAACAAGCAUGAGGUCAACUUCCUGCUUUGAAGUCAAAGGUGAACCAGAUGAGUUAACCACCUCCUGUGCCACUCCAAAUUAGAUUUUUAUGAAGGAUUUUGGCAUGUGUAGUUUUUUGAGCAUGGAAUUACUCACAGUUGACAUUCAAUAAGUGCAGAGGAUUUUGUAGUAUUUUUAGUUGCAUUGCUGACUUUAAAGUGGGUUUAGUAUGUAAAGGGGAAACUGCACACUGUACCCUCAACCUACUUUAAAACACAAUGUGUGUA